rnacentral:rRNA from 1 species
AGAACGAACGCUGGCGGCAUGCCUAAUACAUGCAAGUCGAACGAACACUUCGGUGUUAGUGGCGCACGGGUGCGUAACGCGUGGGAAUCUGCCCUUGGGUUCGGAAUAACAGUUGGAAACGACUGCUAAUACCGGAUGAUGACGAAAGUCCAAAGAUUUAUCGCCCAGGGAUGAGCCCGCGUAGGAUUAGCUAGUUGGUGAGGUAAAGGCUCACCAAGGCGACGAUCCUUAGCUGGUCUGAGAGGAUGAUCAGCCACACUGGGACUGAGACACGGCCCAGACUCCUACGGGAGGCAGCAGUAGGGAAUAUUGGACAAUGGGCGAAAGCCUGAUCCAGCAAUGCCGCGUGAGUGAUGAAGGCCUUAGGGUUGUAAAGCUCUUUACCCGAGAUGAUAAUGACAGUAUCGGAGAAUAAGCCCCGGCUAACUCCGUGCCAGCAGCCGC